UACCCGAGAAGGCACAGUAGGGGAGCAUGGCCGUGCGAGCGCGGACUUGGUUCGGUUCUUCAAACUGAAGAACACGACUUCCCACCGUUCCGGCUUCUGAAACCCGUUCUAUUACCCUAUUCACUAUUGCUACAUUUACGGUCAAGCGGAGGAUUUUAUCAACUUGUGUUGUGUUGCGGCACAUUCGAAGAAAUCCCGUUCAGCCCUUCAGCUGCGUGUGCAGUUUUUUGCCGUGACAAUCCAGCGACAACGCCGAGGACACGGAUCCGUCGUUGAGUGAGGACAGCGGCAGGGAAGACCGGGAGAGACUCUUCACCAGUUUUUCGUCGGAGUUGGUUUACUUAUUUGUUUUCUACUGAUUUCUAUUAUUCGCCAGAUAUUGUGUUCAUGGACCAUCGUAAGCAGUUUAUUCUUCGGCAAAUUAAUUCAGCUACCUUGAGUUACUGUUGCCUCUAAAAAAGAGUUGAACUUAAGAGUGUAGCGCACUUCAUAUAUCCGCAAAAAGUUAUAUUCAUACCACUACAAAAGAAACACGUUCUGAGUCUAUUUUUUGGAUAGCCUAUUUGUGGAGUAUCUAAUUAAACGCAUUUGAAAAGGGUGCGCUUGAUGCUACUUAAAUAUUGCUGAAGAAGGCUAUUGACUAAAAUAGCCAAAUCUUUAUUUGAAAAGACUGAUUGACAUUUCAGACGAUUUUGUAUUUCUCAAAAUCAAUUCAAGUCGAUUUCUAAUUCCUAAUGACUGUAACAGUAUCGGCGCAUUGAACUGCCUUGUAAAGUCCUAAUCAGACAAGUCAUCUGUUUGGAUACCUCAGAGGAACUGAGUUUCACAAGGCUUUCAGAUGUAAAUAUCAUUUCGCAUUUCGUCUAUUCUUGUGAAGAUUUCACCGCGUCAGAAGCUGCAUAAGGAAGGACUUUGGCGUGUCCAAGUUUGAGAGCAAUGGCGCAGGUGGAGAUGAUCCUGGUCGUAUCCCUCAUCGUUUGGAUGUGUGUGUACGGCCAGGAGCCGGCCUCCAAGGUUGUGUCCGAUCGCUAUGCCGUGUACUGGAACCGCACCAACCCCAGGUUCUACCGAGGCGACUACCACAUUGACGUGUGCAUCAACGACUACCUGGACGUGUUCUGCCCUCACUACCUGGAUCCCGUCCCAGAGGAGCGGGCCGAGCACUACGUCCUCUACAUGGUCAACUACGACGGCUACAGCUCCUGUGACCACACAGCCAAGGGCUUCAAGCGCUGGGAGUGCAACCGGCCGCACUCGCCCAACGGGCCGCUCAAGUUCUCCGAGAAGUUCCAGCUGUUCACGCCCUUCUCCCUGGGCUUCGAGUUCCGCCCCGGCAGAGAGUACUACUAUAUCUCUUCCACCAUCGCAGACAACGGGAGACGCAGCUGCCUCCGACUGAAAGUGUUUGUCAGGCCAGCCAACAAUUGUGUGAAAACUGUGAGUGUUCAUGACCGGGUGUUUGACGUCAACGACAGAGUUGACAAUUCCCUGGAACCCAGAGAUGACACCAGUCACGAGUCCGCCGAGCCGUCCCGAGGCGACGUCAACGCUGCGGGGCGAGUCCGGGGCCCCGCCCUCCUGCUCAGCUCCGCCCUGCUCACGCUGGCGGCCAUCUUGUCUUUAUAGCGCCCCCAAUUGGACUUCACCACGGACUGUCCUGAUUGGACCACAGCCCCCCCCUCCCCCGCGCCCCCGCUCCCCAACCCAACAUACAACGUGUCCCCCCCAACCACCCCUCCCCCAAAAAGGAGCACUUUUUAACAGACAAUCUCUCUCUCCAAGCGUGAAGGAGAGAGCUAGAUGCCAGCUUCUGUGAUCGAUGCUGUCCUGUGGACUUAGUUGUGAAGGAUAGAACACCCUUUUGAAUCUGACAAGUUGUUUCCCCUCCCAUAGUAUACAGUUCUGUACACUCAAUGUAUAAACAAGCACCCCCUCACACUCGUUGAUCCAUGUCUGUAAGGUAAAUCAGUCAAACAGGGAAAAGAGCCUGUUUCCCACACGCUCCUGACAGACCUGGCGUGGUCGUGAACACCACAAAGUCUUACAUCAGAGGACUGUUGGGGGAAUUUCAAGCAAACCUUAAGACUGACACGACCAGCCAAUCACAAAGGGAACCAGGCUCAAGGUGGCGGACACACUAGCCAGUAGGAAAAGGAGCCACGGUUCUUGCUCGUGUGCGUUGCCGUGGAGAGGUCUGCUCCGGUUGUUCUCCUGCCUUUGAAGAGUCCAUUAGAAGUUCCUCUCAGGUGAUGCGGUUCAAUUCGAUGACUCAGAGACAGUGAAAGACGCUCUCUCUGAGAUAAACAACAAAGACAUCAAAUAAAAGCACUCAUGUUACAUUACUUUCUGUCCUGUUAGGGGAUUAGCAAUCGAUUAAUGUAUUUUUUUUUUUUAUUGAAUCACAUAAUUCAAGUGUAGCAGCCAAUACGGUUGUAUAUUUGGGAGCAGCGUGGGUGUGAUGAUAUUUUGGCAAAUGUAUUUUCCUAUUUAUUGUUUUAAGUCUCUCUUCUUCUUCUGUGGUGUUUGCGGAGGUCCAGUCGUUGUGACCGCGGCAGAACCACAUCAGAAACACUCGAAACCAGAAGUCUCUCUUCUUCUCUGGAACACUUGGUUUAUAUUCCACUGUGCUCAUGUAACAAUUGAGUUUGGACUCCAAAUUGAAUGGAUUGUUGCGUCUAGCAGAGACACACAGAGGAGUGAGUCAGAUUUGUUACCAGGAUGUAGGAGUGUAGCAUACUUUAACUAUGUGUGUUUUUAACUGUGUUUGAUGAUAACACACACUAUUAGCCCAUUUUACCAGUCACUAUUGUUACUUUUGCUAUUACUCACUGACAUAACCUUUACAAAACUACAAUUAUGUACAUAAAGACAAAUUCCAGACGAAUUUCAGGGAUGACAUCAUUAUUAACAUGAAUUAAAGCCGUUUGAUUUUGAUCCUAGUCAUUUUGAAUGGGGAGGUUCCCCUCCUACAAGCAGCACAGUGUGUCCUUGGCUGGUCAGGAUGCAGUGAGGACCAACCCACAGGUCCCAACAUUGGCUUUAGCCAAUAAUCUAACAUUGGUUAACGUUUUUCCCAACAUUGGUAAAAUAUUGUUCGGGCAAGAUUAUCUCCAUGUCUCUGUGAAGUUGUCCUAACAUUGGUUAAGAGUUGUCCCAACACUGGUUAAAUAUUGUCCAAACAUUAGUAAAAGAUUGUCCCAACAUUGGCUAAAGGUUGUCCCAACAUUCCUGAGAAGUUGUCCCAACGUUGGUAAAAGACCCUAACCCUAUCCAACAUUAGAUAACAGUUGCACCAACAUUGGUUAUAGCUUAUCCCAAUGUUGGUUAUGGGUCGUCCCAACUUGGCUGAGAGGUUGUGGCUGCGCUGGGGACAGAAGGGCCCCUGGGGCAGCUGGGCCAGGCUUGAUUUAGACAAGCUCUUUGAUGUUGUCAGCAGUGGAGUCAAUUCAGACCACCUACUGAGAGACGCAUGCUGGAUAUUUCUGGAAUGAAAGAUCGACCACCAGUGAGAAGGAGGAGGGAGGGGGAGAGGGGGAAGGAGGAAGAGAGAGAGGGAACGAGAGAAGUGGAGAGAGAGAGAGAGAGAGAGAGAGAGAGAGAGAGAAAAGGAGACGGAGAAAAAGAGUUUGAGGAAGAGAGAAGAGGGAGGGGUGGAAGGAGAGGAAGAGAGAGUCUUCCUGGUGUCCUUUUCAGCCCCAGGGUAAGAUCAGCAGAGAGAGAGAGAGAGGUGUCUUGUUCACCGCAGGGGUAACUCUACCACCAGUGGGUCUGACUGAGCAACACAGGGCAGAGAGACCCAGGUGAGAUCAAUAGUAAUGGGGCUCUCAAACACAGGAAGACGGUCAAUAUUUCCCUCACUCAAGAGAUACACAAGCUAACACAACCUCUCAGCAAAGAAGUGCACAGGAAGGUAUUUUCACCAAACGCUUUGCAUUCUGGGAUCUGUGGUUUUCAAUUUGGUGUCCGGAAAUUCACGGUCAUGGACGUCCUUCACUGCAUCCAGUCAACACCGGGAUAACACACACGUGUUGUUUCAUGGAUACCGUGUAUCCAGCCGUAGUCUAUCAUGUACAGUGUUAGGGUUUUACACGACUCCAGGGAGAGCGUUCGGAGUUAACCAAGACACGUUGUUAACACUCUUAACAGGAGGAAAAGAUUUGUUGUUUGAUAUCAAAAAACGGCUUCAUUUUUUAUGUAUUUUGUAAGAGGAACACGAUCGACGUGGCAGUGUUGAACUCAGAGAUCACCGUAUGUGCAGUAGUCGUGUCAGCUUCCCACACUUUUUUACUGCUGAUCAAGAGGUCGCAGGUUCAAAUCCCGCCCCUCACCCCCCCCCCCCGUACGUCGCACACCAACACUUGUGUGUGUUGAGGAGAAGUGUCCUACAUUGGAAGUGCUCUAUAACCAUACUCACCCCUGCCCCAGACUGCCCACCGCUCUGCAUCCUGCCCCCUGUUUCUGCCAAGCUACGCAGUGUCUGCAUCCUAAACGUCCUAUAGGUGCCUAAUGUUUGACGUCUUAGUUGGGUUUCGUCCCUGUGGGUCCUUCAGAUCUUUCACGGUUUGAGAGUCUGAGAACGACAGUAGUUCUACACACCAUGUAUGUGCUGUGGCGUCGGUUGGAUCCGGCAGAUCCAGCGCCUACUUUUUGUAAAUCUUGUUCAGUGUUGUUGGUUUUCACAGUGUGCUUGUAGGAAUUGGGCAGAUUUGAGUCCCAUGUUCCAUUUAAACAUUGAAGGGAUGAGUAAGAUGGAGAAGCAGAAUGGAAUAUCUGUUGUUGAGCUAAGUUUUUUUUUUUUACUGGGUUUGGACCAUAGUACCGUAUAGCUUGAACCUGACACCACUGUGCCCCUGUCAUUGUACCCCUCACCCCUGUACCCCCUCUCCUGGUACCUCUCACCCCUGUACCCCCUCUCCUGGUACCCCUCACCCCUGUACCCCCUCUCCUGGUACCUCUCACCCCUGUACCCCCUCUCCUUGUACCCCCUCUCCUG